ACGCAAUGCAGAUGCAGGGUGUAACAUCAUCAGUUCCUUGUUGCUUUUGAACUUUUGGCUUUGUUGUUCUCAAUUUGUUGUAACAUAUCUCCUAGGAGUUGCAGGAUAGCUUUGGGAGGCCUGUGAAGUAAAAGACACUCAAUUCCUGAACAAAACUGGGAAAUAGAAAAGCAAAGAAGGGAAAGAUUAAAGGAGAAAAGUCAUGUGUUGAAAGAAGCAUUUGAGGAAAUCCAACACUUGUUCCUGAUAAAAACUCAUAGUGAACCAAAGACUGCUUGACAAGGACAGAAAGAACCCAGAAACCACUUCUAGACGGAGACUCUAGCGCCCCAAAACCUGGUCACAUGUUUAGCAGAGCCAGCCAGGAGUGAAUGUCAAACUUUGGGCCGGGCCAUGCAGAG
rnacentral:lncRNA from 1 species